rnacentral:rRNA from 1 species
AUGCCGCCUGGCGUUGCCCCGUCGUCGUCGUCAUUCUCGCGGCCCCAUCCUCCUCCCCGUUCCUGGAUCCGGAAGGGCCUCCCCGCCCCAACCUCGUCAUCGGACGCCGCUCGCCGGAGCCGCUCCGCGUCGCCUCGCCUCCCCGUCUCUCCAUCGCCGGUCACCCCGAACUUCCCCGAGCCCACGGCCAUGUGCCCUACGUUCCCCUCACCCCGAGACCGAUGCUGCCCUUGUGAUCGACUACGUCGACGAUGA